CGGGGUGAGUAAUGUCUGGGAAACUGCCUGAUGGAGGGGGAUAACUACUGGAAACGGUAGCUAAUACCGCAUAACGUCGCAAGACCAAAGAGGGGGACCUUAGGGCCUCUUGCCAUCGGAUGUGCCCAGAUGGGAUUAGCUAGUAGGUGGGGUAACGGCUCACCUAGGCGACGAUCCCUAGCUGGUCUGAGAGGAUGAUCAGCCACACUGGGACUGAGACACGGCCCAG
rnacentral:rRNA from 1 species